CCUACGGGUGGCUGCAGUCGGGAAUAUUGCGCAAUGGAGGAAACUCUGACGCAGUGACGCCGCGUGCAGGAAGAAGGUUUUCGGAUUGUAAACUGCUUUAGACAGGGAAGAAAAACGACAGUACCUGUAGCAUAAGCUCCGGCGACCUACGGGCCAGCAGCCGCGGUAAUACGGUGGGAGCAAGCGUUAUCCGGAUUGAUUGGGUGUAAAGGGUGCGUAGACGGAGAAGCCAGUUAGUUGUGAACUCCCUCGGCUUAACUGAGGAACUGCAACUAAAACUACUUCCCUUGAGUACUGGAGAGGAAAGUGGAAUUCCUAGUGUAGCGGUGAAAUGCGUAGAUAUUAGGAGGAACACCAGUGGCGAAGGCGACUUUCUGGACAGUAACUGACGUUGAGGCACGAAAGUGUGGGGAGCAAACAGGAUUAGAUACCCGGGUAGUC
rnacentral:rRNA from 1 species